rnacentral:rRNA from 1 species
AAACUCAAAGGAAUUGACGGGGACCCGCACAAGCGGUGGAUGAUGUGGAUUAAUUCGAUGCAACGCGAAAAACCUUACCUACCCUUGACAUGUUCAGAAUCCCGGAGAGAUUUGGGAGUGCCCGAAAGGGAGCUGGAACACAGGUGCUGCAUGGCUGUCGUCAGCUCGUGUCGUGAGAUGUUGGGUUAAGUCCCGCAACGAGCGCAACCCUUGUCGUUAAUUGCCAUCAUUUAGUUGGGCACUUUAACGAGACUGCCGGUGACAAACCGGAGGAAGGUGGGGAUGACGUCAAGUCCUCAUGGCCCUUAUGGGUAGGGCUUCACACGUCAUACAAUGGUCGGUACAGAGGGUUGCCAAGCCGCGAGGUGGAGCCAAUCCCAGAAAGCCGAUCGUAGUCCGGAUUGCAGGCUGCAACUCGCCUGCAUGAAGUCGGAAUCGCUAGUAAUCGCGGAUCAGCAUGUCGCGGUGAAUACGUUCCCGGGUCUUGUACACACCGCCCGUCACACCAUGGGAGCGGGUUCCGCCAGAAGUAGGUAGCCUAACCGCAAGGGGGGCGCUUACCACGGCGGGGUUCGUGACUGGGGUGAAGUCGUAACAAGGUAGCCGUAGGGGAACCUGCGGCUGGAUCACCUCCU